rnacentral:rRNA from 1 species
UACGGGGGGGGCAAGCGUUGUUCGGAAUUACUGGGCGUAAAGGGCGCGUAGGCGGCCUGCUAAGUCGGAUGUGAAAUCCCUCGGCUCAACCGAGGAACUGCAUCCGAUACUGGCGGGCUUAAAUCCGGGAGAGGGAUGUGGAAUUCCAGGUGUAGCGGUGAAAUGCGUAGAUAUCUGGAGGAACACCGGUGGCGAAGGCGGCUUUCUGGACGACAACUGACGCUGAGACGCGAAAGCGUGGGGAGCAAACAGG